UACAGAAGGUGCAAGCGUUAAUCGGAAUUACUGGGCGUAAAGGGUGCGUAGGUGGUUUAAUAAGUUAAGUGUGAAAGCCCCGGGCUUAACCUGGGAACUGCGCUUAAUACUGUUGGACUAGAGUAUUGUAGAGGAAGGUGGAAUUUCCAGUGUAGCGGUGAAAUGCGUAGAUAUUGGAAGGAACAUCAGUGGCGAAGGCGACUUUCUGGACAGAUACUGACACUGAGGCACGAAAGCAUGGGGAGCAAACAGG
rnacentral:rRNA from 1 species